rnacentral:rRNA from 1 species
UACAGAGGGGGCAAGCGUUGUUCGGAAUUACUGGGCGUAAAGGGCGCGUAGGCGGCCUGCUAAGUCGAACGUGAAAUCUCCGGGCUUAACUCGGAAAGGUCAGCCGAUACUGCGGGGCUAGAGUGCAGAAGGGGCAACUGGAAUUCUCGGUGUAGCGGUGAAAUGCGUAGAUAUCGAGAGGAACACCUGCGGCGAAGGCGGGUUGCUGGGCUGACACUGACGCUGAUUGUGCGAAAGCUAGGGGAGCGAACGGG